rnacentral:rRNA from 1 species
CCUACGGGUGGCAGCAGUGAGGAAUAUUGGGCAAUGGACGAGAGUCUGAACCAGCCAAGUAGCGUGAAGGAUGACUGCUCUAUGGGUGGUAAACUCCUUUUAUAAAGGAGUAAAACGAGGCACGUGUGCCUUUUUGCCUGUACUUUAUGAAUACGGAUCGGCUAACUCCGUGCCAGCAGCCGCGGUAAUACGGAGGAUGCGAGCGUUAUCCGGAUUUAUUGGGUUUAAAGGGUGCGUAGGUGGUUAAUUAAGUCAGCGGUGAAAGUUUGUGGCUCAACCAUAGAAUUGCCGUUGAAACUGGUUGACUUGAGUGUAUUUGAGGUAGGCGGAAUGCGUGGUGUAGCGGUGAAAUGCGUAGAUAUCAGGCAGAACUCCGAUUGCGAAGGCAGCUUACUAAACUAUAACUGACACUGAAGCACGAAAGCGUGGGGAGCAAACAGGAUUAGAUACCCCUGUAGUC